UGGGGAAUAUUGCACAAUGGGCGAAAGCCUGAUGCAGCGACGCCGCGUGCGGGAUGAAGGCCUUCGGGUUGUAAACCGCUUUUAAUUGGGAGCAAGCGAGAGUGAGUGUACCUUUUGAAUAAGCACCGGCUAACUACGUGCCAGCAGCCGCGGUAAUACGUAGGGUGCAAGCGUUAUCCGGAAUUAUUGGGCGUAAAGAGCUCGUAGGCGGUUUGUCACGCCUGGUGUGAAAGUCCAUCGCUUAACGGUGGAUCUGCGCCGGGUACGGGCAGGCUAGAGUGCAGUAGGGGAGAUUGGAAUUCCCGGUGUAACGGUGGAAUGUGUAGAUAUCGGGAAGAACACCAAUGGCGAAGGCAGAUCUCUGGGCUGUUACUGACGCUGAGGAGCGAAAGCAUGGGGAGCGAACAGGAUUAGAUACCCGUGGUAGUCCAUGCCGUAAACGGUGGAUGC
rnacentral:rRNA from 1 species